AGAGUAUAAAUUCUCGCGUGAGUUUCGUCCCAUCUAGAUCUUUGCAGACUUAGGAAGUGACGAGUUCUUCUGCUACAACUAUGACAUUCCGAAUUCUCCAGCUGGCAAUAUUCCUCGCCAUCAUCUUUUAUGUCAGCUGUAUACCUCCUCCCUGUCCAGGAGAUUCCUGUCCUACUUACUGUGCAACACACUAUGUAUACGAUCAGCGUCACUGCAUGAAGUGCGAAUGUUUACCUGAGCCCCCUUCCCGUCACAUUAUAUUCUAAAAUUAAAUACAAGUCGAUAAUUUUACAGAAUUUAUAUUGCAGCAAGCAUAAUUCUUAAACUGAAAGUGAAAUGAAAUACAGAAAUAAAUAUUUUGUUUGGUA